UACAAGAUAAGAUUAACUUUGACAGUAUCACACAUAUUUCAAAUCAGUGUACUAGUAGAAACAUGUUAAGUACAUGUAAUCAAAUAAAACAGAACAAGCAGAACAUUUACAUUCUUUGGAAGCGUGGUUGGAAUUGUUGGUGUUUGUAAUCUAUGUGUGGUUACACUUGUGAAGCUGAUGGAGGAAAGUUAGCAUUAAGGUAUUAGCCAUGUAAUACAACUCGGGAAACAUCGGGUAACAUCGACAUAUAUCGCCACUCGCCGUAACAGAUCGCGACGAACAUCGGGCGUAUUCGGCCUGUACCGGAUGUUGCUAUUUUUAGAAACAGAAGGUAUUUCCCGGCUAUUCAUAGGUCAAUAAUGGAAUUUCUACAUCGUAGGAUUUGGAAACGUUGUGAUGUUUUUCUCAUGAAUAUAUGUUUAAAAUAAAUAAACACUUAAAGUACACACUGACAGUUGAUUACGAUACAUCUAACAAUUUGAGUCAUUACAGUUAAACAUGGAUUACAAGUGAAAUAUACGCGUAAGAGAAGAUUUUCUCUCGAAAAAACGAACUGUCAACAAUCGGCAUGGAACUGGGAUAUUCGUAUCAAAGGGCUCUGAAUGCAGGAAAAUGACUGAAUAUUACUUAGUCAACAACACUGGGUUAUGAAGAAUUCCAGCCUGCAUUAAAUACUAUGUUGGAUCCUUGAGAGCUGAUUUGACAGCCAUGUCCAUCCACAAGGCAGUCGCAUCUGAUCGAGAUGAUCAUUAAACAUUCUUGAUGGGUAAAGUACCUGAAGGUGCAUGAAAACCAAAUCAGCAUUGACUCAGCAAUGAGUAGUUAUCAUCUGUGCACACACUACAAGUACA